AUUUAUGAUGCAUAAAGAUGCAUUCGAUGCUGUCGGGAAAUGGCAACAUUCCAAAACAUUUCAGUAUAGACACGGAAAAAUAAACUAUAUGUAGUGUUUUAGUUUUUUGAUCAUUUGUAACAAACAUAAUAGGGUCUUCUGUAGCUUCCCUAUGUGUAUGUUGUAAUUCCUCCUCACCACUCGGGGCGCUAUAGAAGGCAAGGUGUGCUAUCUAGGUGUGACAGAAGAAGUACAAUGACUAAGCAGGAAGUGUCCCUUUUGUAAGUUCUUAUCAAGAUAAAUUCUACUUUUUUACUGCUUACCUAUAUACCUAAAACAGCUAAUAAGGCACUUGUACAAAAGUACGGUUGGUCACUUUAAUUGACAAGUUAUUAAUAAGAUCAGGCAUCACAAGAAGUCAUCAGACACUUGGCACACCAGAAGAGGACACGUGGCCUUUCAACCCUUUGGAGCAGUCAGAAGUCACAUCCUGCUUUUCUAGCCGUCUCAAAAGUCGCCUUUGUCACCUCUGACCUUGCUGAAAAGAGGUUGAAACAACAAAGACCAAGAAGAAACAGAAGGAUAAUGUACCAUCUGCCUGAUGUUUUUUCACAACCUAUAAAAAAGGAUAUACAGGAUAUAUGGCUCACACUCUUGGUUUUGGUUUUCUCGGGACUCCUGAUGACAUUUUGAGACAUCUCCUACAACUACAGCACCAGAAUUGAGCCGUCGAAGCAAGUUUUGUCUGGACUCCUGAUGACGUUUUGAGACAUCUACAACUACAGCACCAGAAUUGGGCCGUUGAAGCAAGUUUUGUCUGGACUCCUGAUGACGUUUUGAGACAUCUCCUACAACUACAGCACCAGAAUUGAGCCGUCGAAGCAAGUUUUCUCGGGACUCCUGAUGACGUUUUGAGACAUCUCCUACAACUACAGCACCAGAAUUGUGGUGCUGAAGCAAGUUUUGUCGGGACUCCUGAUGACGUUUUGAGACAUCUCCUACAACUACAGCACCAGAAAUGUGCUCCUGAAGCAAGUCCAUUUUUUUGAAUUUUUUGUUUUGUCUGGACUCCUGAUGACGUUUUGAGACAUCUCCUACAACUACAGCACCAGAAUUGUGCUGUUGAAGCAAUUUUUUUCGGGACUCCUGAUGACGUUUUGAGACAUCUCCUACAACUACAGCACCAGAAUUUGGCUGUUGAAGCAAGUCCGUUUUUUUGAAAUUUUUGUAAGGGUCCCCCCUUACGACAUUUUAGCAAAUACAUUUUUUCGUAAAAUAUGCAUUUUCUUCCAUUUUCAGGUUUUGUCUGGACUCCUGAUGACGUUUUGAGACAUCUCCUACGACUACAGCACCAGAAUUGGGCCGUUGAAGCAAGUUUUUUCGGGACUCCUGAUGACGUUUUGAGACAUCUCCUACAACUACAGCACCAGAAUUGGGCCGUUGAAGCAAGUCCGUCUUUUUGAAUUUUUUGUUUUGUCUGGACUCCUGAUGACGUUUUGAGACAUCUCCUACAACUACAGCACCAGAAUUGGGCCGUUGAAGCAAGUUCGUUUUUUU